GCGCCCGUGGCUCAACUGGAUAGAGCAUCAGAUUUCGAAUCUGAGGGUUGCAAGUUCGAGUCUUGCCGGGCGCACCA
rnacentral:tRNA from 1 species